GUUUUAAAAUUAUAUAUUUAAUUUAAAUUAACUAUUAGUAAUCAUUAUAUAGACAUUUAAAAAAAGCACCCCAAAAAAGAAAAGAAAACUCUCCAUCAUUUCUCCCCCUUUUGCUCUCUUUUCUCUGCUCGGCGUCAAAAGCCCACAGUCUCCUCCUGGCUCGCAAUCGUAGUCCUCGAAGCAGCGCCUGGAGUAGAAUGGGCGGAUCUACAGGGGCUGUCGCCUCCCUCGACGUGCUACUCUUGCCUCGCUCGGUCGCAUUAGGUUCGGCGGGCCGUAUUACCUGUGGAUCUCUAUGGUUCGAGGGUUUUGUUCUCGUUUCCUUUUGAUUAAUAUCUUUUCUCAGUUUCGUGUUUGUAUGCGCGCGAAUUCCUCGAUGUUCUAAUUGUUUGUCUUCUAAAAGAGGAAUUUUUUGAAAAAGUAUAGUCAUGAAUGGUGGUGAAUGCUGUCUCUUUUUGAGAUUUACCAGUUCUGGAAUGUGGUUUCGAUUCUCUGGAUGGUAUUUACUUUCAACUCCUUUUGGUGCACGAUCAUUUGUUCCAGAAAUCAUAACUUGAUUAGUUUGUGAAAAGAGUUGUCAUUAUUCAGAUUUCUUUUUCGUUAGUGGUGUUCUUUCUACAUGUUACUGUUUUAGUAGAGAUAAAAGUUGGAAACUUCCUAUCUGUGUCAUUCUAGUUGAUAUGUGAUACUUAAAGAGUAUAACUUGAUUACUUGCUAGGUUGGUCUUAGAUUUUUCUCAAAGGGAAGACUUCCAGUAGCAAAUUUCUAAGGUGCUCCUAUGGCAGAACAGAGUU
rnacentral:lncRNA from 1 species